rnacentral:rRNA from 1 species
GACGAACGCUNGGCAGCGUGCCUAAUACAUGCAAGUCGAGCGGACCGACGGGAGCUUGCUCCCUUAGGUCAGCGGCGGACGGGUGAGUAACACGUGGGUAACCUGCCUGUAAGACUGGGAUAACUCCGGGAAACCGGGGCUAAUACCGGAUGCUUGAUUGAGCCGCAUGGUUCAAUUAUAAAAGGUGGCUUUCAGCUACCACUUACAGAUGGACCCGCGGCGCAUUAGCUAGUUGGUGAGGUAACGGCUCACCAAGGCGACGAUGCGUAGCCGACCUGAGAGGGUGAUCGGCCACACUGGGACUGAGACACGGCCCAGACUCCUACGGGAGGCAGCAGUAGGGAAUCUUCCGCAAUGGACGAAAGUCUGACGGAGCAACGCCGCGUGAGUGAUGAAGGUUUUCGGAUCGUAAAACUCUGUUGUUAGGGAAGAACAAGUACCGUUCGAAUAGGGCGGCACCUUGACGGUACCUAACCAGAAAGCCACGGCUAACUACGUGCCAGCAGCCGCGGUAAUACGUAGGUGGCAAGCGUUGUCCGGAAUUAUUGGGCGUAAAGCGCGCGCAGGCGGUUUCUUAAGUCUGAUGUGAAAGCCCCCGGCUCAACCGGGGAGGGUCAUUGGAAACUGGGGAACUUGAGUGCAGAAGAGGAGAGUGGAAUUCCACGUGUAGCGGUGAAAUGCGUAGAGAUGUGGAGGAACACCAGUGGCGAAGGCGACUCUCUGGUCUGUAACUGACGCUGAGGCGCGAAAGCGUGGGGAG